UGGGGGAUAUUGCACAAUGGGCGAAAGCCUGAUGCAGCGACGCCGCGUGGGGGAUGAAGGCCUUCGGGUUGUAAACUUCUCUUGCUCUGAACAAGGCAUGCUAAUGGGUGUGUUGAGUGUAGGGGUUGAUUAGCGCCGGCUAACUACGUGCCAGCAGCCGCGGUAAUACGUAGGGCGCGAGCGUUGUCCGGAAUUAUUGGGCGUAAAGGGCUUGUAGGUGGCUGGUUGCGUCUGUCGUGAAAGCUCAUGGCUUAACUGUGGGUUUGCGGUGGGUACGGUCUAGCUUGAGUGCAGUCGGGGAGGCUGGAAUUCCUGGUGUAGCGGUGGAAUGCGCAGAUAGCAGGAGGGAUACCGGUGGCGAAGGCGGGUCUCUGGGCUGUUACUGACACUGAGGAGCGAUAGCAUGGGGAGCGAACAGG
rnacentral:rRNA from 1 species